rnacentral:rRNA from 1 species
CGCCUUGCCAGCCCGCUCAGAAACUUAAAGGAAUUGACGGGGGCCCGCACAAGCGGCGGAGUAUGUGGUUUAAUUCGAUGCAACGCGAAGAACCUUACCUGGUCUUGACAUCCCGGAGACCCUUAGGAAACUAGGGGGUGCUUCCAUCUGGAAGAAUCUGGAGACAGGUGCUGCAUGGCUGUCGUCAGCUCGUGUCGUGAGAUGUUGGGUUAAGUCCCGCAACGAGCGCAACCCUUGCCUUUAGUUGCCAGCAGUUCGGCUGGGCACUCUAAAGGGACUGCCGGUGUUAAACCGGAGGAAGGUGGGGAUGACGUCAAGUCCUCAUGGCCUUUAUGACCAGGGCUACACACGUACUACAAUGGCCGAUACAAAGGGCAGCGACACUGCGAGGUGAAGCCAAUCCCGUAAAAUCGGUCUCAGUCCGGAUUGGAGUCUGCAACUCGACUCCAUGAAGUUGGAAUCGCUAGUAAUCGUGGAUCAGCAUGCCACGGUGAAUACGUUCCCGGGCCUU